GCUUAAAUAAUUUAAUAUAAAAUAUUGAUUUGUGGUAUCAAUAAUAUACAUUUAUUGUAUUUUAGGCU
rnacentral:tRNA from 1 species